rnacentral:lncRNA from 1 species
AGAUCGAGGCAGGUGGAUCACCUGAAGUCAGGAGUUUGAGACCAGCCUGACCAACAUAGCGAAACUCCGUCUCUACUAAAAAUACAAAAAUUAGCAGGGCGUGGUGGCGCAUGCCUAUAAUUCCAGCGACUUGGGAGGCUGAGGCAGGAGAAUCGCUUGAACCUCGGAGACGGAGGUUGCAGUGAGCUGAGAUCGUGCCAUUGCACUCCAGCCUGGGCGAUAAGAGCUCUCUCUCACAAAAAAAGGAAGAAGAAAGGAGAAGGAGAAGACAGGCGAAGAAACUCCCUCCCCUGCAGAUGAGUUCAUUUAGGGUGGGGCACUGGGUAGCGCACAGGCUGGGGGGUCAGGCGGGCCUGGUCUGAAUUCCCCUGCUGAGUGAUCUUGGGUAAGUGGCUCUACGUCUCUGGGCCUGUGAGGAUGUUGGUAUGACGAUUAAAUGAGACGCCACUGGGAUGGUGAUGAGCUCAUGACUUUAUUUUCUCCUCACACGCACAGACACUUGUAGGCAGAAACUGAGCCAAACCGAGAGUGCCGCAGAUGGGCGCCCCUGACCUUCCCGCUGCUCCAAGCUCCCCACUCGGCCUCGCGCGCCCUCCCUCCUCUCAUAGCUCGGCGUCCUCGCCCGCCCCCGCGCGGCCCUCCCAGAACAGUACCUGUAUCUGCCUGGUGCACCUACUGUGUGUUGCUAGUCACUGAAGACUUGGGGACCAAGACAGACAAGGUGCCCACUCACCUGGAGCUCACAGCCUGCGGGGAGGGGAAAAAGAUACUGAACAAACAAAUAAACAAGAAUAUUAUCACCUAUUACCUGCUGUGCAGAAAAUUAAAAAGUGAAAUGUAACAGAGUGGCUGCAUGAGGAGGAGUUUCAACUGGAGCAGUCAGGCAUACCAUCCCAGAGGAGGUGACAUUUGUGCAAAGACCCAAGGAAUGAUCAAGAGUCAGUCAUCAAGCAUCCAGGAGACCUGAGCUGCAGACAGAAGAAACAGCAAGUGCAAAGGCCCUGUGCUGGGCAUGAGUGUGGCAUGCUAGAGGAACAGCAGAGAGAAAAGGAGGGGACGAGGAGGAGAGAUGAAAGAAGGAGGCCCUGGGACAGGGAGAAGGAGAGGGGACAGAAGGUGUUCCUGGUCGCAGAGCAGGGAGGCCUCACUGGAUCACCAACCUCCUCUUCACAGCAGGGGAGGAGGGGCUCCAUGAACCGAGACCUCUAAGUGCCCAGCUCUGCACCAAAUGCUUUUUACAGAUCGGCUCGGAGAAUGCUCUCAACAGUCCUUGGGGCAGGUAUAGUCAUUAGCCACAAUAUAAAGAAGGAAACAGGCUCAGAGAACUUGGCUGAGCUGCUGGGUCUGGGACUAGAGUCAAAGUCAUAGAGCGGGAGGAGGGAUCUAAUGCCCCCUGUGCUGCCUUCAAGGACCCAGUCUGGGGACGCUUUUUCCUCCCACCCAGCUGCCCUUCCACUCCCACUCCCACUCCCUCUGCCUCUAGGGAGAGGGCCUCGCACAGGAGGCCUGGCUGCUAACUGAUCCCUGCCAAGGGCUUUCCGUUCCUCCUCUCAUUGUCCCCUAAGAGCAAGCCAAGGAGAGAACCCACUACCUCUCCCUCACCUGGCUGGGGAAGGGUGCUGGGAGCGAGGAGACAGAAGCCCAUCUCCAGUCCCGCAACACCGUUUCUGAGGCCCCUCUGCAGGCCCUGCCCUUGGAAGGGGUUGGACCGUGGUCCUUGGAUGGCAGCCCAGUGGUCAGUGAAGAUGCCCCCCAAGGCCAGGGGCAACAGCAUCUUGAAGUCUGAGAGAACUUACUUCCCCAUAUGCGCUACACUGCCCCAGACCCUAAAUAGCCUGUGGCACACCAGGGAGAGAGCCAGACUCCAGGGACAGCCAGACCUUGCACCAGCUGGGAAGAAUGUUAUAGAAAGGAAAGCAGGCUGCGGGGCGCGGUGGCUCAAGACUGUAAUCCCAGCACUUUGGGAGGCCGAGGUGGGCGGAUCACGAGGUCAGGAAAUCGAGACCAUCCUAGUUAACACGGUGAAACCCCAUCUCUACUAAAAAUACAAAAAAUUAGCCGGGCG